rnacentral:rRNA from 1 species
UACGGGGGGAGCAAGCGUUGUUCGGAUUUACUGGGCUUAAAGGGCGCGUAGGCGGCCAGCGCAAGUCAGUUGUGAAAUCUCCGGGCUUAACUCGGAACGGUCAACUGAUACUGCGCGGCUAGAGUGCAGAAGGGGCAACUGGAAUUCUCGGUGUAGCGGUGAAAUGCGUAGAUAUCGAGAGGAACACCUGCGGCGAAGGCGGGUUGCUGGGCUGACACUGACGCUGAUGCGCGAAAGCCAGGGGAGCGAACGGG